GACAGAGGGUGCAAACGUUUGUUCGGAAUUACUGGGCGUAAAGCGCGUGUAGGCUGCCCUGCAAGUCGGAUGUGAAAGCCCUGGGCUCAACCUAGGAAGUGCACUCGAAACUGCAGGGCUGGAGUCCUGGAGAGGAAGGCGGAAUUCUCGGUGUAGAGGUGAAAUUCGUAGAUAUCGAGAGGAACACCGGUGGCGAAGGCGGCCUUCUGGACAGUGACGUGACGCUGAGACGCGAAAGCGUGGGGAGCAAACAGGG
rnacentral:rRNA from 1 species